rnacentral:rRNA from 1 species
ACUCCUACGGGAGGCAGCAGUGGGGAAUAUUGCACAAUGGGGGAAGCCCAUCGAUGCAGCCAUGCCGCGUGUGUGAAGAAGGCCAUUCGGGCUUGGUUAAAGACACUUUCAGUAGGGAGGAAGGUAGUGUAGUUAACACCUGCAUUAUUUGACGUUACCUACAGAAGAAGCACCGGCUAACUCCGUGCCAGCAGCCGCGGUAAUACGGAGGGUGCGAGCGUUAAUCGGAAUUACUGGGCGUAAAGCGCAUGCAGGCGGCCUGUUAAGUCAGAUGUGAAAGCCCGGGGCUUAACCUCGGAAUUGCAUUUGAAACUGGCAGGCUAGAGUCUUGUAGAGGGGGUGAGAAUUGAUCAGGUGUAGCGGUGAAAUGCGUAGAGAUCUGAAGG